GAUGACAUUUUCAGGGUGGAUUCUGUGCUAAAGUGCUUUUUAAGCACGUUGACAGGAGGCUGAGCAUGAAUGACAAUGCGUCCUGUCGUCUGCCCGCUAGCAUCAUCAUUCACUCUCACAACGCGUUUUGUCGUGUUGCUACGGCUGAAAAACACGGAGAGUGUGGUAAAACGCUACGUUGGUGUCGUGUGCGGCGGGGGAAAGACGAGCGUUGAGCCCACACGGCGGCAGGUUUGGCGGUAAAAGUGCUGCAGUGAGAAAAGAAAUUCGCUCGCCCACCUCGUCCUGCUGCGGGGGAUUAUUGGCUCUCUGCUUCGGCUGCUCCUUGCUGGCUGUCAUGGUGGAAAGUCCAGAUCGGUCCAAAGUGUGCUUUACCGCCGCAAAGCAGGAUGCUAAAGAUUCUCAUCAACUGGGGAGGGUGAGGAGGAGGAGGAAGAGGAUGUCGUCAGCAGCGAGAUGCAGGAGAACAUCUGACCAGAGGACAAGAGCGGCUCCUUCUAGAACACCUUGAUGUCCGCGCCUUGGAGGAGGUGUGCUUGAAACUCAUCUAGAGAAUGCCAAGAGUGAGCAAAGAAGGAUGUAUUAACCCUUAAAGAUGCUAUUCAAACAAUGCUCCUCUUCGUUCCCUGAAUUUGAGAUGUGUGUCUCGUCUCCCCGUAUUCCCUCCUGUCUUCUUGUUGCCUUUUUGGAUUUCGACCCCUCAUCUGGACACGGAUUUUGACGCCUUGCUCCUGCCCACGGACCUCUUGCUUGCCCACGGACCUCCAAACCUACUUUGCUCCUUCUGUACUUCCGCACCUUCCUCAACACGCACCCUCAACAACUCCUCGUAACACUCGGCUAAACACAACACAUAGUCACACCAUGCGUAUUGGGAUUACUUACACACGUCAUUCUAUUAUUUUAAUAAACAUGCCUAAGGCUAAGCGACGUCCCUGUCCCGGUGGCGUUUCCUUCUCCACCGCAUGUAACAUUAU